AAUCGCUUUAUGCAGUUGUUUAUUUGUCGUAUAGUUAUUAGGUUUUGAUAUUGUUGGUUGUGAAUUUAUAAAAUAUUUUUUUGCUUGUUCCGUAAAUAGUUUGCAAUCGAUCUUGCUAUGCUGUAUGUUGUCAGUAAAUGCUCAGCACAGCAUCAGAGAGAAAGCUGAAAAAGUAGUAACUAUGCCAUGUCCCUGUGGUAGUCUUAUGGUGACACCAUAGGAUUGGCAGAACUAUGUUAAAUAGACAUUAGGCCCUAAUUAAAAAACAUUGGUUUUUGUUAUUUGGAACUAGGAAGAAGAAAAUAUACUUUCUGAACUUUAUGUCCAGCGAAGUGUUUCAUGCCAUAGGAGCUUCCCUGACUAUUAUGGGGCCUAUUAUGAAAGGAGUGAAGACUCACUUUGGAUUGCCAUGGAAUUCCUUUCUGGCGGCUCUGUAGCAGAUUUAAUUGAGACCAAGAAUUAUUCCUUGGGAGAGCACUGGAUAGCCUAUAUAUGCAAGGAAGUAUUACUGGGCUUGACUUACUUGCAGGAGAUGAAUGUGAUCCAUCAUGACCUUAAGGGCCUCAAUAUAAUGCUAACAUCAAGCGCCCAAGUGAAG